GACGAACGCUGGCGGCGUGCUUAACACAUGCAAGUCGAACGAAGCUUGAUUACGGAUUCUUCGGAUGAAGUAUGAUAUGACUGAGUGGCGGACGGGUGAGUAACGCGUGAGUAACCUGCCCUUCAGAGGGGGAUAGCGUUUGGAAACGAACGGUAAUACCGCAUAAUGUAUUUUGACCGCAUGAUCGAAAUACCAAAGAUUUAUCGCUGAAGGAUGGACUCGCGUCUGAUUAGGUAGUUGGUGGGAUAACGGCCUACCAAGCCGACGAUCAGUAGCCGGACUGAGAGGUUGAUCGGCCACAUUGGGACUGAGACACGGCCCAGACUCCUACGGGAGGCAGCAGUGGGGAAUAUUGCACAAUGGGCGCAAGCCUGAUGCAGCAACGCCGCGUGAAGGAAGACGGUUUUCGGAUUGUAAACUUCUGUUCUUAGUGAAGAAUAAUGACGGUAGCUAAGGAGCAAGCCACGGCUAACUACGUG
rnacentral:rRNA from 1 species